ACCUGCUCAAUGAUUUUAGUAUUAUUAAAUAGCCGCAGAAUAUCUGUGCUAAGGUAGCAUAAUCAUUAGCUUUUUAAUUAAAAGAUAGAAUGAAAGGUAAAACGAGAUUAACUUUGUCUCAUAAUUAUAUAUUAAAAUUUAUAUAAAAGUAAAAAAGCUUUUAUUAAUUAACAAGACGAUAAGACCCCGAUAAACUAAAUAUUUUAACUAGGGCGGUUAUACAAAAAAACCUUAUUUUUAUAUUAAAACAAACCAAUAAUAAUUAUUAAAUAAAAGUUACUACGGGGAUAACAGCGCUACUCUUUUUAAGAGAACUAAUUUAAAAAAGAAUCUACGACCUCGAUGUUGAAUUAAUUUUCCAAAUUUACGCAAAAGUUAAUAAUGGCAGUCUGUUCGACUAAUAAAAAAUU
rnacentral:rRNA from 1 species